rnacentral:rRNA from 1 species
AGGGUUUGAUCAUGGCUCAGAACGAACGCUGGCGGCAGGCCUCAUACAUGCAAGUCGAGCGGUCCUUCGGGACAGCGGCGAACGGGUUAGUAACGCGUGGGAACGUGCCCUUUAGUACGGAAUAGCCAUUGGAAACGAUGAUUAAUACCGUAUACGCCCCAAGGGGGAAAGAUUUAUCGCUAAAGGAUCGGCCCGCGUUAGAUUAGGUAGUUGGUAGGGUAACGGCCUACCAAGCCGACGAUCUAUAGCUGGUUUGAGAGGAUGAUCAGCAACACUGGGACUGAGACACGGCCCAGACUUCUACGGAAGGCAGCAGUAGGGAAUCUUGGACAAUGGGCGAAAGCCUGAUCCAGCCAUGCCGCGUGAGUGAUGAAGGCCCUAGGGUUGUAAAGCUCUUUCGCCAGGGAAGAUAAUGACGGUACCUGGUAAAGAAACCCCGGCUAACUCCGUGCCAGCCGCCGCGGUAAUAC